ACCGAUGUAGCUCAAUGGAAGAGCCCCCGAAAGAGACGAAGGUGGUUCGAUUCCGCCCAUCGGUA
rnacentral:tRNA from 1 species